AACAUACACAUUCCCACGUCUAAUUCCUUUAAAAACUAAACUAUUGUCAUUAGGGUUUGUUAUAAUGCAUAGUGAUGGUUUAAACAUAACAUCAUACCCUUUAUCACAUAAUUGACUAAUGCUUAAUAUGUUAUGCUUAAGACCAUCAACAUAUCUAACAUUAUCAAUAAAAGUAGAAGGGGUAAUUUGAACUUUACCAAUACCAAUGAUGUGACCAUGGUUGUUGUCUCCAAAAGUCACAGCACCUUCCUUCUUAGCUUCAAGGGUGAAAAAUUGAUCCUUGUCACCCGUCAUGUGUCUUGAGCAGCCACUAUCCAAGUACCAGCAAUUUUUGUUGACCUUGGCUGCAAGACACUCCUACACAAGCAAAUCAUGUAAUCUUAGGUACCCAAGUUUUCUUGGGUCCUUCAUGGUUAGUCAUGUUGGUUCCUUUUGGAACCCAUACCCUUUUAAUUUUUCCUUUUGUUUUGCCUUUUCUAUAAUUACACACAUUUGCCUUAUGUCCUAAUUUUCCACAACAGAAACAGAUUAUUUUCUUAGUUUUACUUUCUCCUGCUUUAACAAAGAAGUUACUAAGAAGUUUUUGCUUAUUUUUAGGUUUAUAUCCUAAACCUGCUCUAUUGAAUACUGCACGUUGACUAUUAAGUAUCAUAUUUAAUUUUUCAGAACUAUACGUAAAUUUCUCAACCAAAGGUUUGUACUUUUCAAGUUCUUUAGUUAGAGUUUGUUUUUCGAUUUUUAGAAUGUUU
rnacentral:lncRNA from 1 species